GAUCCUGGCUCAGAUUGAACGCUGGCGGCGUGCUUAACACAUGCAAGUCGUACGCGAAAGGGACUUCGGUCCCGAGUAAAGUGGCGCACGGGUGAGUAACACGUGGAUAAUCUGCCUCUGUGAUGGGGAUAACAGUUGGAAACGACUGCUAAUACCGAAUACGCUCAUGAUGAACUUUGUGAGGAAAGGUGGCCUCUGCUUGCAAGCUAUCGCAUAGAGAUGAGUCCGCG
rnacentral:rRNA from 1 species